UACGGGAGGCAGCAGUGGGGAAUAUUGGACAAUGGGCGAAAGCCUGAUCCAGCCAUGCCGCGUGUGUGAAGAAGGUCUUCGGAUUGUAAAGCACUUUAAGUUGGGAGGAAGGGCAGUAAGUUAAUACCUUGCUGUUUUGACGUUACCAACAGAAUAAGCACCGGCUAACUUCGUGCCAGCAGCCGCGGUAAU
rnacentral:rRNA from 1 species